rnacentral:rRNA from 1 species
AGUGAACGCUGGCGGUAGGCCUAACACAUGCAAGUCGAACGGCAGCACAGUAAGAGCUUGCUCUUACGGGUGGCGAGUGGCGGACGGGUGAGGAAUACAUCGGAAUCUACUUUUUCGUGGGGGAUAACGUAGGGAAACUUACGCUAAUACCGCAUACGACCUACGGGUGAAAGCAGGGGAACUUCGGACCUUGCGCGAUUGAAUGAGCCGAUGUCGGAUUAGCUAGUUGGCGGGGUAAAGGCCCACCAAGGCGACGAUCCGUAGCUGGUCUGAGAGGAUGGUCAGCCACACUGGAACUGAGACACGGUCCAGAGUCCUACGGGAGGCAGCAGUGGGGAAUAUUGGACAAUGGGCGCAAGCCUGAUCCAGCCAUACCGCGUGGGUGAAGGAGGCCUUCGGGUUGUAAAGCCCUUUUGUUGGGAAAGAAAAGCAGCAGGUUGAUACCCCGCUGUUCUGACGGUACCCAAAGAAUAAGCACCGGCUAACUUCGUG